rnacentral:lncRNA from 1 species
UUUUGCUCGUAAGCGUAUUGGGUUCGGCCAUUGUCAUCCUCUUCGUCUUCCUUGCACAUUGUAAUCACAUUUCGCUGCAAAACCUCGUCUUCCUUCGAAGAUGUCAGCGAGUGAAAGUGAACCUACGCCUACUGAAAUUCCUGAACCUGCGCCUCCUGAACCUGCCUCUGUCCCUCUUGAAUGUGCUGAACCUGCCCCUGCCCAUGAAGUGCCAAGUGAGGACCGUGGUUCAAGGAAAAAGAGGGCUGCCCAUGAAGUGCCAAGUGAGGACCGUGGUUAUUCCUCAAACAGCGAGUAUAUGCAUACUCCUGUUUCAAGUGAGGAUGAAGGCAAUUCUCCAUUAAACCCACAGUUUAAAAAAAUCACGUUGGCAAA